UACGGAGGGUGCGAGCGUUGUCCGGAAUCACUGGGCGUAAAGGGCGCGUAGGCGGCAUGCCAAGCGUGUGGUGAAAGCCCGGGGCUCAACCCCGGGUCGGCCGUGCGGACUGGCGUGCUCGAGCACUGUAGGGGCGGGUGGAAUUCCGGGUGUAGGCGGUGGAAUGCGUAGAGUAUCUGGAGGAAUACCGGUGGCGAAGGCGGCGA
rnacentral:rRNA from 1 species